UACAGGGGGUGCAAACGUUGCUCGGAAUCAUUGGGCGUAAAGCGCACGUAGGCGGUCUGUUAUGUCAGACGUGAAAUCCCUCGGCUUAACCGGGGAACUGCGUCUGAUACUGGAUGGCUAGAGUGUGGGAGAGGGAUGCGGAAUUCCAGGUGUAGCGGUGAAAUGCGUAGAUCUCGAGAGGAACACCAGUGGCGAAGGCGGCUCACUGGCCUGUAACUGACGCUCAUGCACGACAGCGUGGGGAUCAAACAGG
rnacentral:rRNA from 1 species